AUGAAGCAAAUUAGCGAAGGUAAAGAGGUGGAUGUUUCUAAUCAAAAAAAGGGAAAUUCUGGAAGAAAGCCUAAGGACAUUAACCUAGAAAAAAUCAUAAUGAUCCCAUUAAACAAAAGGUCUACCAUUAGGUCACUUGCCUGGCAACUAGGAUGUAGCCCUACCACACUUCAUAGAAAGUUCAUGUUAAACUUGAUAUGGAGGCAUACAAACUGUGUGAAGCCAGCUCUAAAGGACCAGAAUAAGAAUGAUAGGAUGAAAUUUUGUUUGUCGAUGCUUGAUGAGGCAACAAUAACAUUUGCAAGGCAUAAGUUCAAGACUAUGCAUAAUGUUGUCCAUAUCGACGAAAAGUGGUUUAACAUGACAAAGAAGAAUAAAACAUAUUAUUUGCUGGAUGGGGAGGAAGAGCCUACGACGCCUAUACAUGGCAACUGUAUUGGCAAGGUGAUGUUCUUGACGGCCUUUGCUAGGCCGAGGUGGGACAGUGAAGGAAACAUGGCCUUCUCUGGGAAAAUCGGUAUCUUGCCAUUCGUGAAGGAAGUUCCUGCUCAAAGGAGAAGCGACAACAGGCCCAAAGGUACAAUAGAGACAAAAUAA
rnacentral:rRNA from 1 species